rnacentral:rRNA from 1 species
AUUGAACGCUGGCGGCAGGCCUAACACAUGCAAGUCGAGCGAGCGGCGGACGGGUGAGUAAUGUAUGGGGACUGCCCGUUAGAGGGGGAUCACUACUGGAAACGGUGGCUAAUACCGCACACUGUCGGAUAACCCAUAUGGGAUUAGCUAGUAGGUAAGGUAAUGGCUUACCUAGGCGACGAUCCCUAGCUGGUCUGAGAGGAUGAUACGCCACACUGGGACUGAGACACGGCCCAGACUCCUACGGAGGCAGCAGUGGGGAAUAUUGCGCAAUGGGCGCAAGCCUGAUGCAGCAAUGCCGCGUGUAUGAAGAAGGCCUUAGGGUUGUAAAGUACUUUCAGUCGGGAGGCGUUACCGAAAGAAGAAGCACCGGCUAACUCCGUGCCAGCAGCCGCGGUAAUUC